UGGUACGCUCAAAUUGAAUGGCUAUUAACCAUUCUUUCUUGUUCCCAAGCGAAAGAGCUUUACGACCCUAAGGCCUUCUUCACUCACACGGCGUCGCUUCGUCAGGCUUUUCGCCCAUUGCGAAAUAUUCUCG
rnacentral:rRNA from 1 species